rnacentral:rRNA from 1 species
CCUACGGGCGGCUGCAGUGGGGAAUAUUGCACAAUGGGCGCAAGCCUGAUGCAGCCAUGCCACGUGUGUGAAGAAGGCCUUCGGGUUGUAAAGCACUUUCAGCGGGGAGGAAGGCGGUGAGGUUAAUAACCUUAUCGAUUGACGUUACCCGCAGAAGAAGCACCGGCUAACUCCGUGCCAGCAGCCGCGGUAAUACGGAGGGUGCAAGCGUUAAUCGGAAUUACUGGGCGUAAAGCGCACGCAGGCGGUCUGUCAAGUCGGAUGUGAAAUCCCCGGGCUCAACCUGGGAACUGCAUUCGAAACUGGCAGGCUAGAGUCUUGUAGAGGGGGGUAGAAUUCCAGGUGUAGCGGUGAAAUGCGUAGAGAUCUGGAGGAAUACCGGUGGCGAAGGCGGCCCCCUGGACAAAGACUGACGCCCAGGUGCGAAAGCGUGGGGAGCAAACAGGAUUAGAUACCCCGGUAGUC